AUUGAACGCUAGCGGCAUGCUUAACACAUGCAAGUCGAACGAGUGGCGGACGGGUGAGUAAUAUAUCGGAACGUGCCCAGUAGCGGGGGAUAACUACUCGAAAGAGUCGCUAAUACCGCAUACUCUUGGAGCGGCCGAUCUGGGAUUGGCUAGUGGGGGGGGUAAAGGCUCACCAAGGCAACGAUCCGUCGCUGGUUUGAGAGGACGACCAGCAAAACUGGGACGGAGACACGGCCCAGACUCCUACGGGAGGCAGCAGUGGGGAAUUUUGGACAAUGGGGGAAACCCGGAUCCAGCCAUCCCGCGUGUAUGAGAAGGCCUUCGGGUGGUAAAGUACUUUUGGCAGGGAAGCGGUAUCUGCAGAAUAAGCACCGGCUAACUACGUGCCAGCAGCCGCGGUAAUUC
rnacentral:rRNA from 1 species